GACGAACGCUGGCGGCGUGCCUAACACAUGCAAGUCGAGCGGAGGUACAAUGAGAGCAAUCGAGAUGUACUUUAGCGGCGGACGGGUGAGUAACGCGUGAGCAACCUGCCUAUCACGAGGGGGAUAAGGGCGGCGAAAAGCCGCUCUAAUACCGCAUGAGACCCUCAAAGCGAUGCAAGUGGGGGUGAAAGGAGCGAUCCGGUGAGAGAUGGGCUCGCGUCCGAUUAGGUAGUUGGUAGGGUAAGGGCCUACCAAGCCAAUGAUCGGUAGCCGGCCUGAGAGGGUGAACGGCCACAUUGGAACUGAGAGACGGUCCAAACUCCUACGGGAGGCAGCAGUGGGGAAUAUUGGGCAAUGGGCGGAAGCCUGACCCAGCAACGCCGCGUGAGGGAAGAAGGUUUUCGGAUUGUAAACCUCUGUUCUUGGGGAAGAGGAGGAGACGGUACCCAAGGAGGAAGCCCCGGCUAACUACGUG
rnacentral:rRNA from 1 species